rnacentral:rRNA from 1 species
GGGGAAUUGUGUUUUCACGCGAGCUACCAUGCAGUCGACGAUGAACCUGGAGCUUGCUCUAGGGGAUUAGUGGCGAACGGGUGAGUAACACGUGAGUAACCUGCCCUUGACUCUGGGAUAACCUCCGGAAACGGAAGCUAAUACCGGAUAUGACGCACGGAGGCAUCUCCUGUGCGUGGAAAGAACUUCGGUCAAGGAUGGACUCGCGGCCUAUCAGGUAGAGUGGGAGAGAGUAGACGGCCCUCCAAGCUUACGAACGGCUAGCUGACAUGACAGGCUUACCGGCCACACUUGGGGACCAGGACACAGGCCAGACUGCCGUACGGGAGGCCAGCAGUGGGGACCGGUGCACAAUCGGGCGCAAGCUUGAUGCAGCAGCGCCGCGUGAGGGAUGACGGCAUUCCGGGUUGUCAACCUACUUUUGAGUAGGGAAGAAGCGAACGUGACGGUACCUGCAGAAAAACGCACCGGCUAACUACGUGCCGAGCAGCCGCGGUAAUACGUAGGGUGCGAGCGUUGUCCGGAAUUAUUGGGCGUAAAGAGCUCGUAGGCGGUCUGUCGCGUCUGCUGUGAAAACCCGAGGCUCAACCUCGGGCCUGCAGUGGGUACGGGCAGACUAGAGUGCGGUAGGGGAGAAUGGAAUUCCUGGUGUAGCGGUGGAAUGCGCAGAUAUCAGGAGGAACACCGAUGGCGAAGGCAGUUCUCUGGGCCGUAACUGACGCUGAGGAGCGAAAGCGUGGGGAGCGAACAGGAUUAGAUACCCUGGUAGUCCACGCCGUAAACGUUGGGCGCUAGAUGUGGGGACCAUUCCACGGUUUCCGUGUCGCAGCUAACGCAUUAAGCGCCCCGCCUGGGGAGUACGGCCGCAAGGCUAAAACUCAAAGGGAAUUGACGGGGGCCCGCACAAGCGGCGGAGCAUGCGGAUUAAUUCGAUGCAACGCGGAAGAACCUUACCAAGGCUUGACAUACACGAGAACGCCCUAGAAAUAGGGAACUACUUUGGACACUCGUGAACAGGUGGUGCAUGGGUUGUCGUCAGCUCGUGUCGUGAGAUGUUGGGUUAAGUCCCGCAACGAGCGCAACCCUCGUUCUAUGUUGCCAGCUCGUAAUGGCGGGAACUCAUAAGGAGACUGCCGGAGUCAACUCGGAUGGAAGGAUGGGAUGACGUCAACUCAUCAUGCCCAUUAUGUAAUAGGCUGCACGCAUGCCUACCAAUGGCCUGUACAAGAGGCUGCAAUACCGUAAGGUGGAGCGAAUUCCCAAAGAGCGGGUCUUCAGUUCUCGGAAGUCUGCAACUCGACCUCAUGAAGUCGGAGUCGCUAGUAAUCGCAGAUCAGCAACGCUGCGGUGAAUACGUUCCCGGGCCUUGUACACACCGCCCGUCAAGUCAUGAAAGUCGGUAACACCCGAAGCCGGUGGCCCAACCCUUGUGGAGGGAGCCGUCGAAGGUGGGAUCGGUGAUUAGGACUAAGUCGUAACAAUGAGGCCACGAAC